GAUGAACGCUGGCGGCGUGCCUAAUACAUGCAAGUCGAGCGAACAGACGAGGAGCUUGCUCCUCUGACGUUAGCGGCGGACGGGUGAGUAACACGUGGAUAACCUACCUAUAAGACUGGGAUAACUUCGGGAAACCGGAGCUAAUACCGGAUAAUAUAUUGAACCGCAUGGUUCAAUAGUGAAAGACGGUUUUGCUGUCACUUAUAGAUGGAUCCGCGCCGCAUUAGCUAGUUGGUAAGGUAACGGCUUACCAAGGCAACGAUGCGUAGCCGACCUGAGAGGGUGAUCGGCCACACUGGAACUGAGACACGGUCCAGACUCCUACGGGAGGCAGCAGUAGGGAAUCUUCCGCAAUGGGCGAAAGCUUGACGGAGCAACGCCGCGUGAGUGAUGAAGGUCCUCGGGUCGUAAAACUCUGUUAUUAGGGAAGAACAAAUGUGUAAGUAACUAUGCACGUCUUGACGGUACCUAAACAGAAAGCCACGGCUAACUACGUG
rnacentral:rRNA from 1 species